rnacentral:rRNA from 1 species
UACGAAGGGGGGCUAGCGUUGCUCGGAAUUACUGGGCGUAAAGCGCACGUAGGCGGAUUGUUAAGUCGGGGGUGAAAUCCUGGAGCUCAACUCCAGAACUGCCUUCGAUACUGGCGAUCUCGAGUUCGGGAGAGGUGAGUGGAAUUCCCGGUGUAGCGGUGAAAUGCGCAGAUAUCGGGAGGAACACCAAUGGCGAAGGCAGCUCGCUGGGACGGUACUGACGCUGAGGCGCGAAAGCGUGGGGAGCAAACAGG